AGAGUUUGAUCAUGGCUCAGAACGAACGCUGGCGGCAUGCCUAACACAUGCAAGUCGGACGCUUUUGGGGUUUCGGCCUCAAGGGAGUGGCGGACGGGUGAGUAGCGCGUGGGAACCUGCCCCUUUGUGGGGGAUAACCGAGGGAAACUUCGGCUAAUACCGCAUGCGCCCCGGCGAAAGCUGGGGGAAAGAUUUAUCGCAGAGGGAGGGGCCCGCGUCGGAUUAGGUAGUUGGUGGGGUAACGGCCUACCAAGCCGGUGAUCCGUAGCUGGUCUGAGAGGAUGAUCAGCCACACUGGGACUGAGACACGGCCCAGACUCCUACGGGAGGCAGCAGUGGGGAAUAUUGGACAAUGGGCGCAAGCCUGAUCCAGCAAUGCCGCGUGAGUGAUGAAGGCCUUCGGGUUGUAAAGCUCUUUCGGCGGGGACGAUGAUGACGGUACCCGCAGAAGAAGCCCCGGCUAACUUCGUGCCAGCAGCCGCGGUAAUACGGAGGGGGCGAGCGUUGUUCGGAUUUACUGGGCGUAAAGGGCGCGUAGGCGGCGGGUCAAGUCGAGUGUGAAAGCCCCGGGCUCAACCUGGGAAUUGCGCUCGAGACUGGUCUGCUUGAGUUCGGGAGAGGAGAGUGGAAUUCCCAGUGUAGAGGUGAAAUUCGUAGAUAUUGGGAAGAACACCGGUGGCGAAGGCGGCUCUCUGGACCGAGACUGACGCUGAGGCGCGAAAGCGUGGGGAGCAAACAGGAUUAGAUACCCCUGUAGUCC
rnacentral:rRNA from 1 species